CGUGGGGUAGACUACUGAACAAGUCUACGGGCUCAUAACCUGGAAAUAUGAGGAUUCAUCCCCGUGA
rnacentral:tRNA from 1 species